rnacentral:lncRNA from 1 species
AAGAGGGCUGUGGAUUCCUUCUUAUUGGCUAACUCAAAUAUGUCAUGACGUCGCGCAUGCCCAUUUUGAAUGCCAAGGGAUCCGCAACUUUCUGUCGCCGGCAUUUUAAAAUUUUGUGACUUUUUUUAAUAAAAAGUGAUUUUUGUGUACACUAUAUUUGUUUGUGAAUCGCUCAGUCUCCCCAAAAAACCCGAUUGAAGACCAGCACCUAUGUAGCAUGCAUAGGUACCCAAGGGAGUCACCACUGUCUGGUUUACAAGUUAGGUGUUCUAAUGCUGCAGGCUUUAGCCGGAUAAAACCUGGGACCCAAGCUACGAGACUUCUUCGUGCACGUAUUGCGUGGCACCUCAAGAGCGUAGGGGACAUGAUAUGGACACAUUUGAAGAUGAAGAUGGGGGUUAGGCCUGUAGGGGGUCCUGGUAGCAGGUCGCUCGAUAGGAAAGUGGAUGAUCUCUUCAAAUCUGCAGAAGAUGGCUGUUGAGAUUUCCACUUCGGACGCGACGUGAAGAUUUUUUUUUUGUUCUGCAUCUGCCUGACGUCGAUUUCUGGGCAGAGAUUCGGGAUAGAGAUGCUAGCAUAGUCCAGCUCAACCUAAAACCAACUAAAGAUAAUUCGAGUUCAUUGCGCGUUUAAAUGAAAGACGAUUCCAGAUGAAAUACUGCGACGCGUGUGAUUGGUCCCAAAGCUUCUUCGGAUUCUCCCAGACACCGUCAAAUACCUACGUGAUAAGUACCAACUCCAGAGGAUUGUCCGAUAUCCAAGGAAGAUAAUUGCCAUUUCUUUCAUUGAAUGGGACUGAAGAAAUACCGACGAAAGGAUAUGGAUAUGAUGAUAAAGUAGCCCAGUCUAAACGGGAGGAAUAGAAGAGGACUUGGAAAAUAGGAAGAAUAGAAAAGGGAAUAGGAAUUGCGAUGAUAGAGGAGUUGAAUCAAAAUGUGUUUAAAACGGCGGAGGGUAGAACUAUAAGUUGAAUUGCUGCUAAAUAUUAACAAGUCUGACGGGGAGGUUUCGCUUUUUUGAGGGGGUAUGUGCAGACAUUUUAUGAGUGUCAAUGCAGUGCUCAAUAUGAGAAAGCACUUUUCUUUAGCUGAAUAUUUCUUUUAUAAAUGGAAUAUAUUGUAUUCUAAACACUCUUGGUUGGCCUUAGAUGAUGAUCUAUAUCUUAUGUCAUGGUAUUUCAGUAGAUUGUCCAACUUAUGAAGCAAUACAGAAACUAGAAUUGUCUUGACUUGUUCACAAAUCUUAAAAUUGAUAGAGCUACCAGCAUUCUUAAAAUUGAAUUGCUGGUGAAUGUUGACAAGUAUGACAGAGAGGUUUAGCUUUUUUUGAGAGGACAUGCAGACAUUUUACGAGGGGUCAAUGCAGUGUUCAAUUUGAGAAAGCACUUUUCUCCAAAAUUCCUCCUGCUCCUUCACCAUAUUCCAAAAGGUUGGUUCUAUAUAUUAUGUGUAUAGACGUCUAUUUUUAUUCUGAUAAUAUUGCAAUUCUUUGAUAAACUGGACAAACUUUAGACUUUAAAAAAUAUCACUGUACAGCAGAAAAAGUUACAUAGCUCAUAAUGAAUUCAUCCUUUUUACAUUUGUAGUGUAUUAUUUUAGGCCAAUUUUAUUUUGUAAUGAGGAAUCCUUUCUCGUUAAAAACGUUAUUUUUAUUUUUUUAUUAAAACAACUAAUUUAACUAACUAAAUUAUCUACUACAUUAUUUACUCAGCUUAUUUGGUAGUUUUCAAAGCAAUGUACUGUUUAAUAAAUUAUAAACAUUUUGUAAUAUUUGUAUUCAUAGAGCUACAUAAAAUAAGCACUCUAGAGGUUUUUAAUUGUUUAUCAUAAGCCCUCUAGUUCGUUAUAAACUUUCAAUAAAAGACCUUAUUAUAUUAACAUAAUAUAACUAAUGCAAUUUAAAUUUUCAAGCAUAUAUUUCUACAAAAUACGUGGUAAUAAAUUUUAAAUAUUUAAAGUUUAUUAUUACGUAUUUUUUGGAAUAAUAUAUUUAAUAAUUUAGGUUAAUAAAAUAUAGAGUCUAUUAGUUAUAACGUCGAUGGAUUUGUUUCUCUAUGGGGUAUGCAACCAAAGAUACAUCAAUUGUGGAUGCGGAUUAACUUAUUUUUUUAUGUUUAUCAAUUUUUCUUAUUAAAAAUGAUUAAAUUCAGCUAGAGUACUUAAUUUAGUUAAAUACUAUCCAUGGUAAUAUACUUUAAUACUACAAAACACUACUUUUAUUCUUGUAUUAUUGCAACUCUACAUUUUCAUUUUAUGUUUAUUUGUAUUAGUUUAUAUUUUAGUUCAGCACAAGUCACAAGUUAAAUGUAGUAAUACAUAAAUAGAAUUAGUUUUUUAAUAUAUCACACAUAUCGGUAUAUUUCUGUGCCAUUCAUGUAACCAGGCCUAAGCAAAUUCUUAUUACCCAGAGCCCCUCACACUUUUUCUGUUUAAAUAAAUAAAGAAAAUUAGCAUAUGAAGAAUUAAUAAUAUAUAAAUAAUGAUGCUAGUAUAUCGUCCCA